rnacentral:lncRNA from 1 species
CUUUAGAAAGGAAUUCUGCGGAUCCCUAAUCCUUUCAGAUUCUCUUCAGAAGAAGUGUUAUGUAGCCUUUUAACUUAGAUAAUUCUCAUUCAAGUCUUUGCACUUUCAGACUCCUGUGCGGACACAUACAAAUGACUCUGAGACACUUCUUAUUGAUUUGGCCCUGCCUUCCUGAGAGGGCAAGAACGAGGUGAUCGAAUUGUCUUCAUAAACUCUGGCGUGAAAAUAUAAAUUUGCCAUACAAUUUCCCAACAUAUUAUUGUAACUUUUCAUUCCCUCUCCUCUGUACAGAAGUCUCCCCAUCGCCACCAGCAUUCCAGUUGGACCUCAGGAGCCUAAAGGAUUUUGGAUGAUCGUCUCCCAUGCUCAGAUGCUCGG